CGACUUCAAUUUGUUGGGGACAGAUAAAGUGAAUAUGGGCAUCAAUCCCCCCAGCGGUGAGAAUCAUCCCUUCCCCCGCUACAGCUUCCGUCCCCGGACCAAUAAUGAUAUCGACGUUAUCUUGAAUAUUGGGAUUUCCAGCUUUGCCAAUCUGGAAAAUCUUACCGUCUUUAAUCCCAAUAUCAGCUUUGACAAUUCCCCACCAAUCCAAAAUUAGGGCAUUGGUAAUCACCAGAUCCACCGCCCCAUCUGCAUUUGAUAUCGGAGAUUGUCCCAUCCCAUCCCG
rnacentral:sRNA from 1 species